ensembl:snRNA U2 U2 spliceosomal RNA
AUCACUUCUCAGCCUUUUGGCUAAGAUCAAGUGUAGUAUCUGUUCUUAUCAGUAACAUCUAUAUAGAGGAGAAGAAAGCCAGGCAUAGCUUUAAAUGCACCUGGUAGUAUAGAUUUCAAAAAGUUCAGAGAAAAGAUAGAUAUGAUCACAUGUAUAGUCAAUUCUGCUAUAACUGGGUUUCAAAAACUUAAAUUUGUUCCAACUUUGAGAAUAAUGCAAGUUUU